rnacentral:lncRNA from 12 species
ACCCCAUCCAAAAAAAACCUCAAAGCCAUGCAGCUUUGUCUGUCUCCUCCAGAAAGUGCUUCAGGCAGGGAAGUUUCAGGGAAGUUUCAGGGAAGUUUCAGGGAAGUUUCAGGGAAGUUUCAGGGAAGUUUCAGGGAAGUUUCAGGGAAGUUUCAGGGAAGUUUCAGGGAAGUUUCAGGGAAGUUUCAGGGAAGUUUCAGGGAAGUUUCAGGGAAGUUUCAGGGAAGUUUCAGGGAAGUUUCAGGGAAGUUUCAGGGAAGUUUCAGGGAAGUUUCAGGGAAGUUUCAGGGAAGUUUCAGGGAAGUUUCAGGGAAGUUUCAGGGAAGUUUCAGGGAAGUUUCAGGGAAGUUUCAGGGAAGUUUCAGGGAAGUUUCAGGGAAGUUUCAGGGAAGUUUCAGGGAAGUUUCAGGGAAGUUUCAGGGAAGUUUCAGGGAAGUUUCAGGGAAGUUUCAGGGAAGUUUCAGGGAAGUUUCAGGGAAGUUUCAGGGAAGUUUCAGGGAAGUUUCAGGGAAGUUUCAGGGAAGUUUCAGGGAAGUUUCAGGGAAGUUUCAGGGAAGUUUCAGGGAAGUUUCAGGGAAGUUUCAGGGAAGUUUCAGGGAAGUUUCAGGGAAGUUUCAGGGAAGUUUCAGGGAAGUUUCAGGGAAGUUUCAGGGAAGUUUCAGGGAAGUUUCAGGGAAGUUUCAGGGAAGUUUCAGGGAAGUUUCAGGGAAGUUUCAGGGAAGUUUCAGGGAAGUUUCAGGGAAGUUUCAGGGAAGUUUCAGGGAAGUUUCAGGGAAGUUUCAGGGAAGUUUCAGGGAAGUUUCAGGGAAGUUUCAGGGAAGUUUCAGGGAAGUUUCAGGGAAGUUUCAGGGAAGUUUCAGGGAAGUUUCAGGGAAGUUUCAGGGAAGUUUCAGGGAAGUUUCAGGGAAGUUUCAGGGAAGUUUCAGGGAAGUUUCAGGGAAGUUUCAGGGAAGGGAAGGGAAGUUUCAGGGAAGUUUCAGGGAAGUUUCAGGGAAGUUUCAGGGAAGUUUCAGGGAAGUUUCAGGGAAGGGAAGGGAAGGGAAGGGAAGGGAAGGGAAAAGGGCUGCAGGGAAGGAGAGGGAGCCACUGGCCUGCUACUGACCUGGUACAAUUAGUCACUGCUGGGACUGCUCGUUUCUGCCAGUGGGUGUGAAAGGAGGGAGGGGAGGACUGAGUUGGAAAAACACACAAAGGCAGAGCUAUGCAUAGCCAGACAGGGUUAAUCCCAGUGGGGC